GACGAAAUAGCUCAGUUGGGAGAGUUAGACUGAAGAUCUAAAGGUCACUAGUUCGAUCCAAGGUUUCGGCA
rnacentral:tRNA from 1 species